rnacentral:rRNA from 1 species
GAUGAACGCUGGCGGCGUGCCUAAUACAUGUAAGUAGAACGCUGAAGCUUGGUGCUUGCACCGAGCGGAUGAGUUGCGAACGGGUGAGUAACGCGUAGGUAAGCCUGCCUCUUAGCGGGGGAAUAACUAUUGGAAACGAUAGCUAAUACCGCAUAAAAGGUCGACAUCGCAUGAUGUUGACUUGAAACGGUGCAAUUGCAUCACUAAGAGAUGGACCUGCGUUGUAUUAGCUAGUUGGUGAGGUAACGGCUCACCAAGGCGACGAUACAUAGCCGACCUGAGAGGGUGAUCGGCCACACUGGGACUGAGACACGGCCCAAGACUCCUACGGGAGGCAGC